GCUGGACCUAGUAGCGCAGGUCUGUCAUCCAAGUGGAAGCUUCACUUCGGGGAUUGCUAGGCGAUCUGUCAGGGCCAUUCGUGUCUUGUUGACUGGCUUGCCCAACCUGAGGUCGGGGUCGGAGUUUCCCACCUCCUUGAGAGGGGGUGGGUCCUUCGAUAAUUGCCGGUGGAACGGGUCAGGGAGGAAACUCAGCAGCCCACAUCGGAACCUCGAUCGGCAGAUGGAUAACGAGCCUGAGAGAUGCGGUGGAGUUACCCUCGUCAGUCGCACUUGUGAGACUGAUUUU
rnacentral:SRP_RNA from 1 species